AAAUUGAAGAGUUUGAUCAUGGCUCAGAUUGAACGCUGGCGGCAGGCCUAACACAUGCAAGUCGAACGGUAGCACAGAGAGCUUGCUCUCGGGUGACGAGUGGCGGACGGGUGAGUAAUGUCUGGGAAACUGCCCGAUGGAGGGGGAUAACUACUGGAAACGGUAGCUAAUACCGCAUAACGUCGCAAGACCAAAGUGGGGGACCUUCGGGCCUCACACCAUCGGAUGUGCCCAGAUGGGAUUAGCUAGUAGGUGGGGUAACGGCUCACCUAGGCGACGAUCCCUAGCUGGUCUGAGAGGAUGACCAGCCACACUGGAACUGAGACACGGUCCAGACUCCUACGGGAGGCAGCAGUGGGGAAUAUUGCACAAUGGGCGCAAGCCUGAUGCAGCCAUGCCGCGUGUAUGAAGAAGGCCUUCGGGUUGUAAAGUACUUUCAGCGAGGAGGAAGGCGUUGUGGUUAAUAACCACAGCGAUUGACGUUACUCGCAGAAGAAGCACCGGCUAACUCCGUGCCAGCAGCCGCGGUAAUACGGAGGGUGCAAGCGUUAAUCGGAAUUACUGGGCGUAAAGCGCACGCAGGCGGUUUGUUAAGUCAGAUGUGAAAUCCCCGGGCUCAACCUGGGAACUGCAUUUGAAACUGGCAAGCUUGAGUCUCGUAGAGGGGGGUAGAAUUCCAGGUGUAGCGGUGAAAUGCGUAGAGAUCUGGAGGAAUACCGGUGGCGAAGGCGGCCCCCUGGACAAAGACUGACGCUCAGGUGCGAAAGCGUGGGGAGCAAACAGGAUUAGAUACCCUGGUAGUCCACGCCGUAAACGAUGUCUACUUGGAGGUUGUGCCCUUGAGGCGUGGCUUCCGGAGCUAACGCGUUAAGUAGACCGCCUGGGGAGUACGGCCGCAAGGUUAAAACUCAAAUGAAUUGACGGGGGCCCGCACAAGCGGUGGAGCAUGUGGUUUAAUUCGAUGCAACGCGAAGAACCUUACCUGGUCUUGACAUCCACGGAAGUUUUCAGAGAUGAGAAUGUGCCUUCGGGAACCGUGAGACAGGUGCUGCAUGGCUGUCGUCAGCUCGUGUUGUGAAAUGUUGGGUUAAGUCC
rnacentral:rRNA from 1 species